rnacentral:rRNA from 1 species
UUGGGUUAAGUCCCGCAACGAGCGCAACCUCGUCUAUGUUGCCAGGCACGGUAAUGGUGGGAACUCAUGGGAUACUGCCGGGGUCAACUCGGAGGAAGGUGGGGAUGACGUCAAAUCAUCAUGCCCUUAUGUCUUGGGCUUCACGCAUGCUACAAUGGCCGGUACAAAGGGCUGCAAUACCGUAAGGUGGAGCGAAUCCCAAAAAGCCGGUCCCAGUUCGGAUUGAGGUCUGCAACUCGACCUCAUGAAGUCGGAGUCGCUAGUAAUCGCAGAUCAGCAACGCUGCGGUGAAUACGUUCCCGGGUCUU